rnacentral:rRNA from 1 species
CAGUAGCCGCGGUAACACCAGCAGCCCAAGUGGUGGUCGCGAUUAUUGGGCCUAAAGCGCUCGUAGCCGGGCCGGUAGGUCCCUUGUGAAAUCGGACGGCCUAACCGUUCGGCGUGCAAGGGAUACUGUCGGUCUUGAGGCCGGGAGACGUCCGAGGUACUCCGGGGGUAGCGGUGAAAUGUUCUAAUCCUCGGGGGACCACCGGUGGCGAAGGCGUUCGACGAGAACGGGCCUGACGGUGAGGGGCGAAGGCUAGGGGAGCAAACGGGAUUAGAUACCCCCGUAGUCCCUGUCUCUUAUA